rnacentral:tRNA from 1 species
GGAAAUGUAAUUCAGUGGUAGACUACUUGACUACUAUACAUGAGGCCCUGGGUUUAAUCCCCAGUAUUACAA